ACGGGCGGUCUGGCCACCGCCGCCGCCUGUACUGGGUCCACCUAGGGGCCCUUUCAGCCGCUGAUCUCUGGGGCCAAGGGCUGUGUUUUGCCACCACCCUCUGGACAGUUGACCGGCCGCUCUGCUUGGGGGGUGGUUUACCCCCUAAGAAGCGGGAGUACCAAGGAAGAAUGACAGCAAGGGGAGGAGGGAGGCCAGGAAACGCGCAGUCCAUGUGGCCAGAAGUCACGAUUCUGCAGAUGCAAAAACUGAGGCCCAAAGAGGGCCCGGCACCACACUGGCUGACGAGGGUGCUCUCAACAGCAGGACCUGAAUGGAAUUUCAUAUUCGAGAGCUGGGAGGGCACUUGGGAAAUCAUCGGGCUUUCCCCACGUGUGAAAAAGACGCAGCAGAACUGUUCCCACUGAACAGAUGACACUACUGAGGCUCAGAGGCCAGGACACUGACAGGGAGAAGUGGCAUCCUGCAUCCCUGCUGGCUGACCCUCAGGAUGUAGCCCGGCCAGUGGAAUGCCAGACGAGCUUGCUACGUGCCAGGCCUGUUUCAGUGGCUUAAAAAAAAAAAUUGCCUAAAGCCCAGACUCAUCUCAUCUGGCACUGGGAGUGGGUUUAAUGUCUCAGGCUUGCUAAGUCUAUGAAGGUGAACAGAACAGGGAAGAGCCAAAAACAGGGUGGGGAGCUGGUUUUUCUUAUUUGCAAACUUCUCAAAAAUAAGCCUCGUCUAGCACCAGCCUGUUGUUAUUUACUAA